CGGGCAUUGAACAUUACGCAGGAGGUUUUGUAUAUCUCCGCAUCCUUAGGGGGCCGAAGGACUCAUUUAACAUUUGAAUCAUCUUCUCUAGCUGUGCAUCCUCAAACAUAUGACUAAGUUCGUCGUUCAUAGCUGUCCUCGUCAUGCAAUACAUAGUUGUGCGGUUAUUGAGCCACUUCAUGUAAGUGUCUCUCACAGCACGAGGAGUAUUAUCUACAGAUUCUUCAGGUA
rnacentral:lncRNA from 1 species